UACAACCGCUUUGCUGGGAUAUGAUCCGAAGCACCUCUGAAGGAUAAUAUAGGCUCACCUAUUUAACUCCUAUCAGGACGUCCCUGUUUGUGCCAAGUGGCUAGAUGUGUUAUCCCAUAUCCAAACUUGGAUACACGGAAUAGCUCCAAACUCUAGGCGGAUGAUGGCAGAUGGCAAAUUAGGAGGGG
rnacentral:ribozyme from 1 species